rnacentral:misc_RNA from 1 species
AAGGAUCAUUAUUGAUUGCGAAUCGUUGUCUUCAGUGCUGGCCAGCUCUGGCAAGUGCACGUUGGCGGCUUUUCAUCCAAUACCCCUGUGAACCUUUGGCCUCUUGCUGGCUUUGGCUGGCAGAGGAUUUUUUACACCUGCUCGAAUGUAAUGAAAUUAUUGUUGUGCGCAAGCACUACUGUACAACUUUCAACAACGGAUCUCUUGGCUCUCGCAUCGAUGAAGAACGCAGCUUGACUGCAACAACGGAUCUCUUGGUUCUG